rnacentral:rRNA from 1 species
UACGUAGGGUGCAAGCGUUAAUCGGAAUUACUGGGCGUAAAGCGUGCGCAGGCGGUUCGCUAAGACCGAUGUGAAAUCCCCGGGCUUAACCUGGGAACUGCAUUUGUGACUGCAUGGCUAGAGUUUGGCAGAGGGGGGUAGAAUUCCACGUGUAGCAGUGAAAUGCGUAGAUAUGUGGAGGAACACCGAUGGCGAAGGCAGCCCCCUGGGUCAAGACUGACGCUCAUGCACGAAAGCGUGGGGACGCAA